ACACCGCCCGUCACGUCAUGAAAGUCGUAACACCCGAAGCCGGUGGCCUAACCCUUGUGGAGGAGCCGUCGAAGGUGGGAUCGGCGAUUGGGACGAAGUCGUAACAAGGUAGCCGUACCGGAAGGUGCGGCUGGAUCACCUCCUUUCUAAGGAG
rnacentral:rRNA from 1 species